rnacentral:rRNA from 1 species
CCUACGGGAGGCUGCAGUGAGGAAUAUUGGUCAAUGGACGAGAGUCUGAACCAGCCAAGUAGCGUGAAGGAUGACUGCCCUAUGGGUUGUAAACUUCUUUUAUAUGGGAAUAAAAUGUUCCACGUGUGGGCUGUUGUAUGUACCAUAUGAAUAAGGAUCGGCUAACUCCGUGCCAGCAGCCGCGGUAAUACGGAGGAUCCGAGCGUUAUCCGGAUUUAUUGGGUUUAAAGGGUGCGUAGGUGGAUUGUUAAGUCAGUUGUGAAAGUUUGGGGCUCAACCGUAAAAGUGCAGUUGAAACUGGCAGUCUUGAGUAGAGUAGAGGUGGGCGGAAUUCGUGGUGUAGCGGUGAAAUGCUUAGAUAUCACGAAGAACUCCGAUUGCGAAGGCAGCUCACUGGACUGCAACUGACACUGAGGCACGAAAGUGUGGGUAUCGAACAGGAUUAGAUACCCUAGUAGUC